CCUUUUAAAGCUUGCUUUUGAAAGGUCAGCGGCGGACGGGUGAGUAACACGUGGGCAACCUGCCUGUAAGACUGGGAUAACUUCGGGAAACCGGAGCUAAUACCGGAUAAUAUAAGGAACCUCCUGGUUCUUUAUUGAAAGAUGGUUUCGGCUAUCACUUACAGAUGGGCCCGCGGCGCAUUAGCUAGUUGGUGAGGUAACGGCUCACCAAGGCGACGAUGCGUAGCCGACCUGAGAGGGUGAUCGGCCACACUGGGACUGAGACACGGCCCAGACUCCUACGGGAGGCAGCAGUAGGGAAUCUUCCACAAUGGACGAAAGUCUGAUGGAGCAACGCCGCGUGAGCGAUGAAGGCCUUCGGGUCGUAAAGCUCUGUUGUUAGGGAAGAACAAGUGCGAGAGUAACUGCUCGCACCUUGACGGUACCUAACCAGAAAGCCACGGCUAACUACGUGCCAGCAGCCGCGGUAAUACGUAGGUGGCAAGCGUUGUCCGGAAUUAUUGGGCGUAAAGCGCGCGCAGGUGGUCCUUUAAGUCUGAUGUGAAAGCCCACGGCUCAACCGUGGAGGGUCAUUGGAAACUGGGGGACUUGAGUGCAGAAGAGGAAAGUGGAAUUCCAAGUGUAGCGGUGAAAUGCGUAGAGAUUUGGAGGAACACCAGUGGCGAAGGCGACUUUCUGGUCUGUAACUGACACUGAGGCGCGAAAGCGUGGGGAGCAAACAGGAUUAGAUACCCUGGUAGUCCACGCCGUAAACGAUGAGUGCUAAGUGUUAGAGGGUUUCCGCCCUUUAGUGCUGCAGCUAACGCAUUAAGCACUCCGCCUGGGGAGUACGGUCGCAAGACUGAAACUCAAAGGAAUUGACGGGGGCCCGCACAAGCG
rnacentral:rRNA from 2 species